AUAUUUUCCUAUAUCCCGAAAAUAGGAAAAGAAAGAAUUUUAGAAUUUAUCGCGCGAUAGAGAUUCAGAAUAACAAUGGAGAACACGCAUGAAACGCACGAUAUUCGGAUAACAACAUAUAAAGUCGAGUAUCUUCGAUCCUGUGUACGCGCACCGUAUGUAAUCGUAUAGUCAUAAUUUUGCUACAAUAUACAUGUAGCGCACGGUUGCGUGUCAUGAAACGCAAAUGCGCAUUCCUCAUUGGAACACGUAGUUUGAUUUAUGCUCACGAACUCUCACAGUGUUUCCAGGACUACACACUACACGUGAGAGAUAAUAGUGUGAAUCAACCUCGGUCUAAUCCAUCCAAACUUUCACGCUUUCGGUAAUUUAAUUCUUCUUUCGAUUAAUCAUAUCACGUGAAUCAUAUAAUUCGAUUUUUUUAAAUAAUCAUCUUUUUGAUUUUAUUUUAUUUUAAUUGUCUCUUUGAUACGAGUGGUUAAUUAUACUACGUAAAUAAAUCGCGGCGCAUACGAUUAUUUUUCGUAAUUAUUUUUUUUUAAUUUAUUUUAUUUUUAAUUUAAUUAUCAACAAUUAUCAAAAACUUAUUUUACGAACAGUAUCUGAUAUUUAACCACACUGAUGACAAUAGCGAGGAUCAAAUUUAGAACGUUUAUUGUCCUUCCGCAUGCAAUCGAGUAUGCAGAAGCCAUUCGAAAAACACAUUUAGAACUUCUUGUUGAAUAGUCACGUUUUUAAAAAAAGCAGAAAGAAGAAUUCAACUAUAUCGCUAAGAAUUUUUUAAUCCAAGGAUAAUUAAAAUUUUCCAAGGUUGCAAAACGUGUGAAACGAAUUUUGGCGUUGUUUAGAUAAAACGAUAAGAAACCAUGGAAUGACCAGCCAGUUCUUCCUCCUGUCUCCUUCACUCUAUUAGAUUUUUAUCCGCGAGUUAAAGUAAAAAAAAUGUGGUUUAUCACGACGAAGCCAACAACACAGCGCAGGAUAUAAGAGAAAAAAA